GAUGAACGCUAGCGGGAGGCUUAACACAUGCAAGUCGAGGGGUAGGGAAGCAAUUCCUGAGACCGGCCGACGGGGGCGUAACGCGUAUGCAACCUGCCUUAUACAGGGGGAUAGCCCAUGGAAACGUGGAUUAACACCCCAUAGGAUUACGGGAUCGCAUGAUUUUGUGAUUAAAACUGAGGUGGUAUAUGAUGGGCAUGCGUCUGAUUAGGUAGUUGGUAGGGUAAUGGCCUACCAAGCCGACGUUCAGUAGGGGUUCUGAGAGGAUUACCCCCCAGACUGGUACUAAGACGCGGACCCGACUGCGACGGGAGGCAGCAGUGAGGAAGAUUGGUCAAUGGCCGGAAGGCUGAACCAGCCAUCCCGCGUGCGGGGUGACGGCCCUAUGGGUUGUAAACUGCUUUUGUACCUGAAGAAUAGGCCCAACGAUUUGGGAUUUGCCGGUAAGGUAUGAAUAAGCAUCGGCUAACUCCGUGCCAGCAGCCGCCGUAAGAC
rnacentral:rRNA from 1 species